AUCAAAACGAAAACGCGCGCAUUACAGCCAUUACAGAACGAUACUCACUCGAAGGAAAAUCCGGAUAUUUAGAGAAAAUCCGCCGAACUGGAACGUUUCGAAGUUCUUAUCAGCACCGCAGAUCGGUUCUCAGCGGUGGUAUAAACCUGUAUGAACGACGAGCUCGUAGACAAUUCACAUUCCUCCGGCUAGAGCGCCCAUAGGAUGCACUUUACGAGCCAAAUUAAGGUGGAUGGAAAUAAACGAAUUCGACUAUUGAUUUUGUGCAAAACCAACACCGUUAACCUCAACGGCGAUGUACCUUCCGGAAGUAAGGCGUUCCUCCAGGUUCCUCCUAUUGAAUUCACGCUGUGAUGGGCAUCCUAUGACUAACGGAAAGUGCGAUGCUGGCUUUGCUUAUUCUAACGACGUUGCAUGUUCAAAGACGAAUCAACAUGUAACAGCCGUUUAUUUUCUAACGCUCUCAGGAAAUAUGAUAACAUCUGUUCAACUAGAGGGCUCCCCUGAACGUAGAUUGUAGAUCCCAACUAGCCAUGCUCGGCCGUACUAAUAGGAGAAAAACAGAAAUCAGUAAAAUGAUAGACGCAAUAAAUCAAUCAUUACGAGUUUUAUA